CGUACGCUGUGAGAUGGAAAGAGGUACAAUUUGCAAAUUGAACCCCGAAAGAAUCCUGUAACUUAGGUACAGAAACAUCCCAUGGCGGCUGAGCCGUCCCGUGCCUUUCCCCAUGGAGGUAUCAUCCCGAUUCGAAAGGAAAAAUCAUCCAGAUUCGAAAUUCUUUCGCUAGGGUUAGGAGACCUGUUGGGAGAUGAUGCUUCCCUCUGGCAGGAUCCCCUCGUUCCGUGCUGGGCUGGCGAGCGGCGAGCGGCGAGCGACGCGGUUAAUUCCUCUCCGGCGGUUGUGUCCGGCCAAGCGUGCGAGUCUCCGAGCGUUUCGGGCAGGGCCGGCGAGUGGCGUUCCGGGCAGGGCCAGCGAGCGGCGCUUCUGAUUCGUCUCCGGCCAACAAUGCCAGUCCUCCGAGCAUUCCCCAUCGAUGUCAUACUAGAUCUAAUCCCAAGGUUUUCUGGUGGCAGUAAAGAUAUAUGCAGAUUUCAACAACAAAAAAGACUGUUGUUUGGAGUCGUAGUAGUGCACUGAUACGUCCUUCUGCGUGUGUACUCGAGUUGUCUGCUCAAUGUUUGAUGUAUAAGUGUGAGAUUUACUAUGGCUGUUCAGUUAGUGAUGUGUCUAUCUUGUAACAAAAUUCCCUAGCAUAAUGCGGUUGGAACAUUUGCCUUAACUAAUGUAUGUGUUGUUGAAGCGAUGCAUGCAUUACUGCAAGUGAAUUCUGAUACUAGUAGACUAUAUUAAAAUUAGUUUCCUUCA